UAUAUCUACUUUGCACUUUAUCUAUAUCUAAAAAAUUCUACGUCAUUAAAUUUUUCAACGGUCUGUUCCCAUACACUUUUGCCAACUAAAUUUUAAAUUUUUACGUAAAUUAUCAUGUUUGAUAGACGUUGAUUUUAGGCGAGUAAAUUAAAAAAGAUAAGCAACACAAAAACAUCAAAAUUAUUUGUUUGAAAAAUUUCAGUUAUUUUGCAUCUAAUGGAAGAUAUCUCACAAUAAUUGGAAAUGUCAAUAGACAUUCGCAUGGUGGAAGAUAACAUCUCUCCGUAGAUAGCCUAAUAUUACAGAUGGCUUACGCUUUUUGCCUAUGUAUAUUAAAAGUUAUUUUAUAUGAGUGUCAGUUAAACAAACUUUUAUUGGACACAAUGAUACCAUAGGGGAAGGGGCGUACUCGGGGUCACACUCCCCCUCCCCAAACUCUCGGCAUGAUCGAUUUUGUAUUUUGUCUAAAUUUGAUUAGAAAAUGUAGAAGGAGGGAUAAUUUUUUCAAAAGUAUUCUUCGUUAUGUAAUUCUAAGAUUUUGAAACUGCUCUUAGGUUAGCCUUUAGUUAGUCAUUAGUGUCCACAGAGAAAGUGCCAUAGGGUCAGCUGCCCCCCCCCCUUCUGAGGAAUUCAUUCUGAUUUUAUAAGAACCGUUUAAUUGAAGUUCAGGCUGGCUGUUUAACUUUUAGUAACACCAUUAAAACCAGUAAUGCUUUCAGGCUUAAUUGUUCGUUAUUUAAUCUUAAAUCCAUUUCUUAUUCUUAUUUGAAAUGAAAGACUGAUAUUGUAAAUUUAUUUUACAGGAAAUCACUUGAAAGUUUGUCGCUAUGGACCAGUGAAUGAAAAUCUAUGAAUGGUAUUAUCAGGGGUAUGAAAGUCAUCAUUUUACAAAUAUUCUGUUGAUAUUUUUCGAAUAUUUGGUUGACAUUUAUUCAUGGAAUAUAAAAAGGCAUAGUUUUAUGGUUGAUUUAUACUGAUUUACACCCUUUCGUAGAAGAGGUAUCAAAAUUGCUAGAGCAUGAAUAAGAUUAUAAUCUAUAAAAACAAGUUAAGCCAAAUUAAGAAUAAACAAUAUUGUCAAGCUUUUUUACGGAACAAGAUCAAAAUGAUGUAUUUGUUAUUAUAAUUGUUGCUUGCUGUUAUAAUGUGUUUUGUUUGAGGAAAACUAUUUUAAAACGAUUACCUUACAAAAUGGCUUUGAAAAAAAGCAAACAUUUAGUAAACUAAAGCUUUUCGUCUGACACUCUUCAGAGUUUAAAACGUAAGAACAUAGACCGAAAACCCUACGCUAGGAAAUAUAUAUACCCAGUUGUGGAUCGAAAUAGGCCAAUCAGAAACACGAGCCAGUCUGUUGAGGUUGACCAAUCAGUGCCGCUUGCCUAUUGAGAAUGUUACCAAUGGAGUCCUAAAAACGAACUCCUUUUGUCUUUACAGUAGCGGUUUUUUCGUGCCUAUGUAGAUAGAUUCCAAAAAUGCUAGGUGGAACGACGAUCGGGUUUUACCAAUAAUCCGAAACAUGUCGCCAUUAUAGAUUUUGCUCAAUCUUGGUUUUCCAAUAAAUGCUGCCCGAUGGCAGAAUCGCAGGUUUUAGUUAAAAGUCAUGUGCUCGUGUUACUGAUUGGCCUUUUUUCGAUCCACAACUGGGUAUAUAUAUUUCCUAGCGUAGAAUUUUCGGUCUAUGUUCUGACGUUUUAAACUCUGAAGAGUGUCAGACGAAAAGCUUUAGUUUACUAAAUGUUUGCUUUUUUCAGAGCCAUUUUCAAGUUUUGUACCACCAAAAUAUUGAUCACCUUACACUUUUACCAUCAAUCAAAUUUAUGAUACCGCAAAAUUUGAAGAUCACGCGUAAGAGAAAGAAACAUUUUGUAACCGAAUAACAAUUAAAAAGAAAGCAGAUCAAAAUGUUUUUUGAAAGAAGUAAGUAAGGUUCAAAGUAGGUUAUAAAAGUUCACAAGUGUCUUCAGAAAGUUAUAUGAAUGAUUAAAAUUUUGAAUUUUUCUUAUCAAAAUUGAUUUCUCUUUGUUAGAUUUGAUUAAACUAGCAAGGCUUCGAGAAAAUUCCUCAAAAAUGUAAUUGAUCACAAUAAGGAGUUGUUGAAGCAAUUAAGAUCUUCAAAUGUGGAAUGAGUGCUGUGACUUCUAAAUCAAGACAAUUACCGAGAGCCUAAGGUAUGUUGAAAUACUUUGCAUUUUCUUUUCUACAUUAAAUUUAUUUGUUUUUUUGAAUAGCAGUAUAUUGAGAAAAUACAAUAAUUUACAGUCUAUGGAAAGUUAUACACUUUUCAUCUUCCAACGAAUCCUUUCAAUUAGUUGCAAGCCAAAUAUUUUCUGCAAUUGACGAGUGACCUAUGAAGCAAAAUCAAGCAAUUCUGACACAAAUCUCAAUUCAUUAGGGACCAUUUUAACUUUGACUUGCUGAUAAAGAAUAAAUGAAAUAUAUAUUGCACUAUCGAAAGUUUUCAUUGCUGUUUAUAUGAAGAACACACAGAAAUUUAGGCGUGGUUUACUUUCUUUCUAUAAAGGUAGGAGAGAGUUCACUAGAUUUUAAGUACAUUAUUUUAUACAGUAGCUUAUUCCAGCUUUUUCAAUUGAUAUCUUCAAAGUAAGAUGUUGAUAAUUAGAUUUACUUUAAUAUUAUGAUUGAUUGGCCUUAUUCUGUACUACGCUUCUUCAAGUAAGAAGCAAGCGACUUUAUGUAAAAUAAUAAAUUCAAAAGCUUUAUAGAGGUCGAUUGGAAGUUAUAGUUUUAGUAGCUGUUGAUAUGUAAUAAAAUGAAGCCUUUCAAAUGUUAAGUAGUAUCAAAUGAACCAGGUUGAAGAGAUGUUUAGGGCUGAUAAUUCAAGUAUUUUGAAUACUUAUUAAAAUUACUGCUUGAAGCUAAAAUAUUUUCCACGGUAUGUUACAUAACGACCGAAUAAGCAUACAGGAAAUAUAUGUCAACAAUAGAAUACAGCAUUAGAAUACACAUUUGAAAUAUACCAUCCUUAUGAGUAAUUGUAAAUUUACAAAAAAUAGCUUAUUGUGAUACUUCAUUUUAUUGAAUUAUAAUUUGGUGGCUAUUCAGAUUUUCUAAACUUGAAAAUGUCUUACUAAUCCGUGAAAGGGAAAUAUCCUUGCCUUUUAUCUAAGUUGUUAGCCAAACUCUUUUCGUUAUAAUCGAAUUCUUAAUAGUGAAGUGUAUAUUUAGAUUUUUAACAGUAGAUAGCACGUCAUGAACUAAAACUGUCUCCUCUUAGAUCUGUCGAGCUUUUUUGCAUUUCGGCUAUUUUGUAUUCAACAGAAAACCUUUUGCUUAAUAGGUGCACAAUGCUUGUAAGAAUUUUAUAGUAAUUAUGCAACAGGAUAGAUUAAGUACCGUAUUCCCUCUAAAGAACGCCGUGGCGUUUAUUACAAACUCCAAAUUUUGGAUGCAGCGUUAAUCAGAGGGCGGCGUUUAUUACAAACUCCAAAUUUUGGAUGCGGCGUUCAUCAGAGGGCGGCGUUCAUCAGAGGGCGGGUUCAAUACAAAAUGAAAAGUUUUUCAAAUGAAAAAUGACAAGAAAAAUGCGAUGAACAAAGAUAAAAAGAAUAUCAAGUCAAGUAAAGUAAUGUCAUUAUCCCUGUCUCCGUCAGUGUCCUCGUCUCUAUGAGAUAAAAACUUUCAUGGCUUUCGAAUAGUAAGCGCAUAAACGAUUCCUUCCAUUUUGUUUGUUGUGUUCUAAUGAACGCCGCUUUUCAAGAUGCGGCGUUCAAUAUAGGACGGCGUUUAUCAGAGGGCGGCGUUUUUUCCAAAUGGUUGGCUGAAUGUGCGGCGUUCAAUAGAGGGCGGCGUUUAUCAGAAGGCGUUGUUCUUCUAAAUGAUUGGCUGAAGGUGCGGCGUUCAAUAGAGGGCGGCGUUCAAUAGAGGGCGGCGUUUAUCAGAAGGCGGCGUUCAUUAGAGAAAAUACGGUAUGCCCUUUUGAGGUUCAAAAGUAGGGUUGAAUAAUAUGAUAUAAUGCAUUGUGAUUCAAAUGGACAGUUUUGGUAAACACUUGCAUUUUUUAGCUCAUAGGAUCACUAGCAUUGUUUUGUAAGUGAUUUGCAUAAUGUUUUGCAUGGGGCUUUGGAGUUUGUUGAUAGUUUUGUAUGCUGUUGGUGUUCGUUAGAAAUAUUUUGGUGGUUGACCGAUGGUGAUGGUAUUGGCAGUGUUAUUUGAUACUUAGUGUUUGCCAUGGGUUUUGGUGGUGAGUGUUGGCGGUGGCGUUGGGUGUUGGCGGUGGGUAUUGUUGAUGGUCGCAAAACAACCUAGUGAUCCGAUGAGUUUAAAAGGUGUACAGCUGACUAUAUAAACAAAAUUCUUUCAGGAAGUUCGAACAGAAAGGUCCGGCUACUUUCCCAGUUUUUAAGCAAUGAAACACUUUUUACUGAUUUUUUCAGAAGUACUAAUGAAUGUUUUUGAUGUGAAUCAUGCGUUCAUUCCAUUUCAAUUUUUCACAAGAUGGAGUUUUUUAUCUAAAGAGGGUUCCUGGAAAGCUUAUAGAAUUUCUAGAGUGCUUGUUAUGAUUUUAAGAUUUUUUAUUCACAUUUAUUAAUCUUGAAAUUUAUAAAGGCACCAGAACUGUUUUUAUAAAUUGUAAGGAAAAUAAUACACGAAAUUUCAAGUUUUACACAUUUUUCUGUUAAUUUAUUUUGGAAGAAUCUAAACUAAUUAAUACUAGCAAAACGAUUGCCUUUAAAAGGAAUUGUGAUUGUGUCGUAAAACAUGAGUCAGUGCUAAAUUAAAAGUGAUAUCGAAUCAUCAAAAUUUUCUUGUAUUAGAUUUCUUGUAAUUUUCUUGUGAAAGCAUUGUAAUAUGAUUUGUACCUUUUAUUCAUUAUCUUAAUUAAAGAUUUGCUUUGAAGCUUGGAUAUGAGCAUGUUUUGACAUAUGAAAGACAGCCUGAUGAUGAACCCCAUAAAAAUUCAGUCUUUGUUCUGCCUUUUUUCCCCUUUACUAUUUCAAUUACUAGAGAUAAAUCUAGGUUGAUAAUGAGAUUGAACACUGAAAUCAAAUUUUUGUGACAAAUCAUCAUAAAAUUCAAUAGGAUACUGGAAAAACAACUGCAUAUUAAAGGUUUUGGCUGAUAAUAUUCAAGUUAGAUAUAUCAGAUUAUUUUCAAAUUUUAUUUUUUCCUUUUUCAGGUUUGGUAUCUAUAUUCCUAUAUUCUUUGGCGAAAGUUUCGUAGUUCAGCUGCUUUAUUAUCAAGCAUGUUGUCUUUCGACUUUGACGAAAAUAUUUGAAUUUUUAGUUUCUCGUUUACUAGUGUAAAGGAAGAAAUGAUUUGGGGAAUCAUGAAUUUGUCACAUGAUGAGUUACUCGAAAGAUAUACUCAUAACAAUCAUGAUCAGCAAUUAUUCUGAUAUGGUGAUUAAAACAAGUGUCUUUUUUAUUUUUAAAACAUACUGUACAGCAUUGGUUUUUAGCCAUGGAAGAAUCAAUUUGAAUCGGCAAGUAUUCCUAUAUCCCUGUUAGAGUUUGUUCGUGACCACUUUCCAUAGUACUUUUAGAUACUUUAGGCUUCAAAUCGUUGUGGAUAUUAUAUUUGUUUAGAUAUUUUAAAGUUUAACUGUGCGUAUAAUUCAAUCUCAGUGAAUUUAACUAUUUUGAAAUCCUUUUAUAGCGUCAUUUUAUAGGUUCAAAUAGCGUCAUUCGCCUUUUAUAGGUUCAAAUCGUUAAAGAUAGCAGGAUAUUUGAGCUUCCCAUCUACACCAUAGGUCUGUUCCAAAUCAUCACCUGCCAUCUUCAAUCCAUUAAAUUCGUCUAUCUUAGAUGCUUCGUAUAAGUAGGGUAUACUUUGGCAAUGAAAAUCUAUUAUUAAACACAUUCAGUACUCUAAUUACCUUUAAACAAAGCAAAUCUUCUCUAGAAUUAUACCCGCUGAAAACAGCUCGAUUAUAUUUUGAAAAAAACAAAUCGAGUAAAUGUAUUUCUAUAGAAUUUUUUAUCAGUUCUAGAAAGAAAGCAAAAGUGCUUCUUUUUUGCGACGAUGGGCAUAAAAAAUAUGUGAUAAAAUUUGUUCUUGCUAAUAUCUAAUAUCAAUGAUCAUUUAAACAUUGAUAAGCUAAUCACAAACUAAUUUUACAUUUUUAGACCACAUCAUGCAAAUUCAAAAAUGAACUAUCCAUGGAAGAAACUGAUUGGAAGGCUACCUGCGAAGUUUUCUUUCUAUAUUUCAAAGCCGUUUUGAUGAUAUAUAAUGAGCUGGUAUUUUUCUUCUUUUUUCAGGCAUUCAGCCAUUGCAAUACGAUGUGUCUCCUUUGCCACUUUUCGUUUUCGAUACUGUCAUAAUUCUGAGCAGUUAAUUUGUUUUUGUAACUUUAACUGUUUGUAGAUAAAGUAUCUUUCAGAAUGCACGCAUCUUCCGAAGAAAGAUACCAGAUGCAGCUGCAAGAUCUGUCAUUCUGGAAGCUUUGAUAUGUAUGUAAGUGUAACAAAAAAUGGGCUAUGCUCGAAACGCCGUUAUUCAUAAAAUAAAUUAUUUAUUCCUUGUACAAUUUACUUACAUUCAUAGUUAUUAUAUCAUUAUAUUGUACCGCACCAUAUCUAUUAUAUCUAUGUAAAUAUAACGAUGACCAAUGCCCACUGGCCUCCUCCACAGUGCUGGAUGCCGCCAGCAGAGCUUCUCGUGUUUUUUUUGGUAGAAAAGGUGAAGUAUCAAUUUUUUAAACACAUUUUGAUUAACUUUACCUUAACUAAAUCGCCAUAAAACUCUGUAUGAUACAUAACUAUACUUUAUUUUUUCUUCAAUGCCUGGCAUCUAUGUUUUUAUGAAUUUUAGAAGUCAUUUCGCUUGUCUGUGUUUAUGGUGGAUACUUAGUUUAAUGUUUUUUAACAAACGUUUAGCUCUUCAGAUACUUUCUUUUCAAAAUUUAUAGUAAAAAAUAAUUCAUCGAUAUGAUUAUAAUGUCGAAUUGUUGAGUCCUAAUGAAUAAAAAUUUCCUAAUAUUUCAACUUUUUGCAAGCCUCUGAUAAAGAGACAUUCGAGCAAAGGAUCUUUUAUUUGGCAAUAGAUUAAAAUGACUAUGAAAAUAAUAUUUUUUAUAGUUGAUACCUAUUGAAAUAUCAUUUUUUUUUAAAACACAGAACUACUGUCUAAAUGUUUAAUGCUAUAGGAAUUCUUCGUCAAAAGUUAGAAAGUAAAAUUUAAUUUGAUACCACUUAAAAAUAUACACUACUAUAUAUUUACUUUACAAACCAAUCCUCUUGGAGUUUGCAUGAUUUUUUACAAGCUGCCUUUUCUUUUUUUAUUUUAUUUGCUUUCAGAUGUGACCUAUAUCUUUGAGAAAGUUUCGAAAAAUUCCUCUUUCUUUAUUCAUUUUGUUUUGGAAAAUUGUUUUAAACAUGCAAUUUGUUUUCAGCUCACCGUUUGGCGGAAACUCUGGCUAGGAAACAAGGUUUGCUAGAGUUUAACGUUAGGGCUAAUAAAUAUUACAUUUUUGAUUAUUACAUUUGUCAUAUUUAAUUAUCAUUAUGUAAGAAAGUUUUUCAGGUAACAAUGGAAUAAUGCACUAGGAAGAAAGAAUUUCUUGACGAUAUUCUACAGUCAAAGGGAAGCUGUAGGCCAUACUCUCUUCUUAGUUCUGAUGGAGUUGAAUAGAAUGACUCGAAACGCAGAAAUUUUGGUUGAAUUUUUGGACAAAAAAGGUUAAAGUUCUGGGUGAAUGUUGAGUGAAGUUUUGAUAGUUCAAAAGGGGCUUUAUUUUCUGCUUCAGAUGUGUUUUUUCUUUUCUUUCUUUUUCUAUUGGAAGCUUUUUGUUUUCGAUAUUUUUUCUUUUUUCCCAAUAAAUUUAGCUUUUCAGUUUAUACCAAUCAGGAAAUUUUGAUUGUAGGUUGGCAGGCUUGCUUUUGGUGAGAAUAUUUUUCACGUUAAAUCCAGCAGAUAUUGCAUUAUUGUGCGAAUGUUACAUGCUCAGUCAAUAUAACAUUUAAAUUUUCAAAUAUUAUAGGAAUGUUUUUGUUUGAUAAAAACUUUUCUUGAAUAAUUUUUUUAUGAAAGGAUAUUUUCUCGUAGCUAAAAACUUCAUUGUGGCUAUGACUGUAAAAUAUGAUAAAGACGUCAAAAUAUGGCAUCAGAUCUACGGUGAGAAUUUUCCAGUUUCAAAUCAUUUUUUGUUAGAUUCUGAAACUAAAGAAAUUACAUAACAACUAUAUAUUCUUCAAUGUUUGCCUGGAAAGAGAAUCUUUACCUGGUGAAAUAGUUCACAAAUUGAAUAUGAGAUCAAGGCGAAAUGUCAGAGAGAUAAAAUUAAUGAAAUAAUAUUCGAUGAUAUCUAGCAUACAUUAAACGUGCAACAAAUUCAGCCAUUUUCAUUCAAGGCAACCCUUUAUCAUUAGGUCAGAAAUUUAUUUAAAUGCCUAUUUCAUUUAUCUAUGAACACUGGAGAACCUAAAAAUCAGGAAAAAUGUUUAUAUUCAGGUAGCUACGAGUUCAUGCAGAAAUUUGAUUCACAGAGUAUGAAGACCUUAGAAUUAUCUUUAAUCUGAACUUUCUAUUACGGGAUGAAUUCACGUUUUUGGGCUUUUUGGACCAAGCAUUCUUUUAAGUGAUUAGUGAUUUAAGUUUUAAUCUAGUCAUUUUUUACAAAAGAUCUGUAUUUCUAGCUUCAAUUUGAUCCAAAACAUACUAAUUCAUUUGAAGAAAAUUUUGGAACAUGCAAUUAAUUCAUUUGAUAUGCAAAAUAAAUACGAGCAGAAGAUAUCAAAAAACCAAAUUUCAACCGAUUCUUGGCCUUUGCUUUCACUGUUCAAUCGAUUUGGGUAUUGGAGCAGUGUCGUUCGCUGGUGAGUCGAAUGGGUUUGAAUAGUUUGGACAACGUUGGUUGAUGGGGUCGGUUGAUGGGUCAGUUGUUGAUGAGUCAGUUGUUGAUGGGGUAGGUCGAUGGGGUCGGUUGAUUGGAUUGGUUGGAUGUCUUGCUAGAUGUAUUUGUUUGGCAUUUGACUGUGAAAGCAUAGGUCAACUAAUUCUUAUAACACAAAUUUCACUUCUGACAUAAUAAAGACUUAAACGACACCUUUAGUAAAUUAAUUUACGCGAGUAAAUUCAUAUAUUUGAGCUUCAAGAUAAGCUAGCUGAGGAGUUGGCAAAAUUUCUAUUUGAAUAGAAAUUUGAUUUCUUUAACCAUUCAAGGAUAAAUAACUGUGAUUUCGAUAUUUCGAUAUUUUAUGCUAUUUCGAUAUAAAAUUGGUUGUUGAUACACUUAAAAAAUUUCUAAGAGAAUUAAUUUUUGAUGCACCACGCGGCCUACUUUGAAUAAUUGUGUUUUUAAAGCAAACUACUCUUGGGUAUGGAGCGCAAAAUACUUGAGCACACGUUGAAAGAUUUGCUAUUCCAUCGAAUGAAUAGGAAUAAACUUUUGAAGGAAGCAAAAUACUUUAAAAAAUAAAUUAGCUUUCACAUUUAUUUUAAGAUGAGAAGCACCCAUCUAACUGAAGAAACUGUAAAUGAGCAGAAAAGAUGAAAUAGAGCCUUAAACUUAGCAAGGGUAGAAGUUUGCUUGCAUGGAGACCAAGGGUCUCUUGAGCAUCAAAAUUCAAAGAAAUCCAUGCGCUCCUUGCCAUACCAGUUUUAGGGCAACAGUACGAUCACGACAAACUUGAUUUGCUUCAUCGCAAGAGCACUUCUGCAGUAAACAAGUCAACUUUGUUCCGAGCCAAAUAUUAUAAACCUUGUUGAGAAGUAAAAUGUUUGUGUCCUAUUGAAUUGCUAUCUGGUUGGACAAUUUACUUCGACAUUGCUGGCUUUUGCAUCCUUUUUCAGGUGAUCAGCAUAGGAAGUAGCAACCACGAGAAACGGGACCAAAGAAUCGAGGAUUUAUUAACAGUUCAUAGAGACUGAAUUUGAAAUGGUAGAAUACGUUAGUAAAUUACAGUUAUUAAAUUUCGGAAAAAAUUCUCGCAUUGUUGGAGAUUGAUGAACUAAUUACCCUUUCCAAAAAAUGGAGAAAUGUUCUCAAAAGUUGCUUGAUAUAAACAUCUGGAUAUUUUAAUGCUACGAUCACCAAUAAAGAAAUUUAAGUACGUGAUAUUAUGGAGCAAGCUACUUGUCGUAACGUAAGUCCAUGAUUUCUAAAAACAUUGAUG